CAGCAGCCGCGGGAAUACAGAGGGUGCAAGCGUUAAUCGGAGUUACUGGGCGUAAAGGGCGCGUAGGCGGUUAUAUAAGUGAGAUGUGAAAUCCCUGGGCUUAACCUAGGAACUGCAUCUUAUACUGUAUGGCUAGAGUAUUGUAGAGGGUAGUGGAAUUUCCGGUGUAGCGGUGAAAUGCGUAGAGAUCGGAAGGAACACCAGUGGCGAAGGCGGCUACCUGGACAAAUACUGACGCUGGGGCGCGAAAGCGUGGGGAGCAAACGGGAUUAGAUACCCGUGUAGUCCCUGUCUCUUAUAC
rnacentral:rRNA from 1 species